AGUGAACGCUGGCGGCGUGCUUAACACAUGCAAGUCGAACGAGAACGGAUUAUAGCUUGCUAUAAUUGUCAGCUAAGUGGCGCACGGGUGAGUAAUGUAUAGGGAAUAUGCCUCUUACUAAGGGAUAACAAAUGGAAACGUUUGCUCAUACCUUAUACUCCUUAUUAACAGAAGUUAAUAAUGGAAAGAUUUAUUGGUAAGAGAUUAGCCUGUAUUGUAUCAGUUAGUUGGUGGGGUAAUGGCUUACCAAGACUAUGACACAUAACUGGUUUGAGAGGAUGAUCAGUCACACUGGAACUGAGACACGGUCCAGACUCCUACGGGAGGCAGCAGUGGGGAAUAUUGCACAAUGGACGAAAGUCUGAUGCAGCGACGCCGCGUGGAGGAUGACACAUUUCGGUGCGUAAACUCCUUUUAUAUGAGAAGAUAAUGACGGUAUUAUAUGAAUAAGCACCGGCUAACUCCGUGCCAGCAGCCGCGGUAA
rnacentral:rRNA from 1 species